CACUAUAGAAGUUAUCAGACAUAUUGUGCAAUCACAUCAUUUCUAACAUAGGCCCGUGCGUGGAAUGAACAUUUUUGUAUCUAUUUGUACCUGUAAUAGUUUUGAACUUUACCCUUAGUACAAUCAACCAUAAUAUCAUUAUUAUCAUAAUACAUUGUUUUCAUUUGAAAAAUGUCUUUGGGAGUUACAUAUGGUAUGGCCAAUAAAAAGCAAAUCUCCAUACGUUCCGGAUCAAUUAAGAGAGGUAUAGCGCUCCCCAUCUCAAAGGCCAGAUUUAAUUGCAUAGGCUCAAUUGUCUCUCCAUCCACAUUGGCAAGCAUCGCAUGAACAAUAUCCUUGGAUACAAAAUACAGAGGUAUGCGUCCC